UGAGCUUCUGGCCUAUGAGAGAUAAGCCUCCAUCCUGGAAUGGCCAGCCAAGCCUGCUGCAGGGCCAAGAGCCAAAAGGCUGCCUGCGGGCCUCUGCUGCACUGCCUCACCAAGGGGCCUAGAGAAUGAAGAAAAGCUAGGACUAGAGAGGUCAACAAAGCAACGUGGGCUCAAGAAUAUGCCAGAUCCUCCCAUGUCACACGUACAGGUGAGCUACGGCGCACCUGUCUGAGGGGUCAUCUGGCAUUUACCAUGAACAUGGUCUGAUGGCUGACUUGGAAUGUGUAGUGACGGGAGCCUUCUCCUCUCUGUACUUCCUGGAUUGGAAUCUCCAUGCUCAGGGCAUCAGAGCCAGACAGGCACACAGCCCUGGUGUUCCCAGUUUCUCCUGUGAGUCCUUCAUAUACAAUCAAGACAAAUACACAGAAUUCUGCUGCCUGCUUGCUGUUCAAGAUGUGAGCUCUUCACUGCUGCUCCAGCCGAGCACCUGUACUGACCAGGGUACUGCCUGAGUGCAUUCUGCCAGGUGACAGGGGCAGGACAGCAUAAUGCCUGAAUCCUUACAACUGGAUGGAAUCCAGGGCCUUCUGCACUGAGGAUCAUACCAAACUGUUUUCCAGACCAAACUGCACUCUAGCACAUGCUCACCUAACUGAUUAUGUAGCCCAGGCUAAACUCAAACUUGCAGUUCUCCUGCCUCAGGCCUCUGGGCUAUCGUAACACUUGUUCAAGUCCGCCUCCCUUCGACACUUCACCAGGUCAAGUUGCCACCAGGGUUUGAGUUCUCUUCUGAACCUCACCUAGCCUGUGUUUUCUUUGAGCUCCAAUACCUGGCCCACCCAGAGUGGUUGACAUCAUGUUAGUAAGACCACACGACAGCUUUUUAUGUUGCAAUUUCCUUCACAAUGCCUAUGCUUUGAAUUCGGCAGCACAGUAGGCCAUGUUGAGGGAGUAACUACAUGGGUUUCCAGUUCUUGCUCUGGGUGGUAAAUGCCAUGUCAGAAUCCUUCAGCUGCACAAUUCCUUGCUUACUAGUCUUUCUGUACUGUCACUGGUAAGAGCAUCCUGGAGCCCUGGAGCCCAGCAGCCCCAAGCUUUGGGGAAGAGAUAUACCUCUAGGGCUACAUGCAUUCUCUGCUCCCUUCUCUCUUGCUGGUGGGUAGAUGUGUUGCUUUCAUUUCUGGUUAACUCUUUCCCAUCCCUGCCUUGGUCCCACACUGCUGUCACACCCACCUGGUUUCUGUGGUGACUCAAGGUUUUGUGGUCGGGUGUGGCUCAGGCUGACUAGAUUCUAUUCCCCUACACACAGUGACUAAGAAUAGAUGUAGAGCCAGGCGAUGGUGUCUCUACCUUUAAUCCUAGGACUCGGGAGGCAGAAGCUGACAGAUCUCUGUGAGUUCAAGGACAGCCAGAACUACAGAGAAAUCUGGUCUGGAAAAACAAACAAACAAACAAAACGAAAGAAAAGGCAAAAUGGAAAGCAUGUAGAAUUCAAACUGAUCAAUGAGACGCCAUUCUGACAUGUUACUGGUAAUGUUAACAAAGAGACUAGAUGACAGAGCUGUGCUUCUCAGGGCUCUGUCACCACUUGGGGAGACCCUGGCUAAGAAUGAGGCCAAAAUAAAGGAAAAGUAAUGUGUCUCUCCCUGAGGCCAAUGACUGGGCACCUAAAUGCAUUCUGACUCAGUUAUAUCAGGGCAUGGAUUCCCUUUGGGUCUAGUUAGUUUGAUUUCAAUCCCAUAUCCCAGAAAAGAAUUCUAAUGAUCACAAAAUGCCACAGUGAGACUGGUUUCACUCUAGAUAGAAAACCUUGAUUGAGUUCUAAUCUAUUUAGAAAGAAAAGCUGUUCACAAACGUCGUUUUUCAUGGCUGCAACUGUACACAAGACCAUGUGUUAUGUAUAACUGCUGCUGCUGCAUUUGAGGGUCUGUUGUGGUGUGGGAAGGACAGUCCUUGCUAAAGGAGUCUGGUGAACGAACUUAUGGUGACAUGAAAGCGGGACACAAUCUAUUGUAGAAAUUAAUAUUCAUGCUUCUGCGUUAUGACUAGAGACGAGACUAAGUCAAUCACAGGUCCUUUCUCCAUCCAAAGGAGUGUCACAUACACACCCACUGACCUCUAUCCUGUUCUGUGUCUUUGUCUCUUCUACUAUAUUAGAAGCUCAACCUUUGACACAACUCCUGUUCAAACUUUUGAAAACCCUCCAUUCCAUUCUCAAAUGCCUAGGCUCUCUGUUUCUGCCAGAGAAUCCAAGGACAGCCAGGUAUGCCUUCCUCUUGAAGAAAAGAGGCCACUGUUGCUCGGCUGGCUUAGUUGAUCUGCUUGCUUAUGUGUUUGGCAGUUUGCACAUCAGACUUACCAACCUUUCAACUUCUAAGACCCUCUGAGAGUCUCAUUUCAUGAAGAGACUAGACUUACAUUUAUUGAUCUUCAGAAUAACAAUUUGUUUUGUCGUUUUAAAAUAUGAAGCAGGUUUACAGACAUGGACAAAGCUUCUUUAUGUCCUUAUCUUUAUUUCAACAAUUUUCUACAAUAGCUAAGAGAAUACAGCGCUAAUGACAGAUACGCACUAAGUACAACACCAGACAGCUACAAACUUAGAGCAUAAAAGGUCAUUCUGAUAUUGUUUUGGCUUUCCUUUCAGCAUUAGGUGAUAUCCAGUGAAAAACUCAUGUUUCCAAGGCUUUGUUGAUAUGAGGUGACUUGUUAACCUUCUAGAAGAUUUCCCGUGAGCUCAGUUCCGACCUGGAGUGGCUUGGUAAUGCCACGUUUCUGCUUCCUCACCUAACCACUUUGCAGAGAUUAACUGUGUAGAUCAAGAAGAUUCUUUCUCCAGAUCCAAGGAGGAAAAAGAUAUGAAAACUGCAAUAUCCCAUUCUGCUGUAUUUCACAAUAAAUUAUAAACAGUUAAAAUAAAAACAGUUAAAA